rnacentral:tRNA from 1 species
AAAAAUUUAGUUAAAAAAUAACAUUAGUUCGUCAAACUAAAAUUAUCAAUUUUUAUUGAUAAUUUUUA